rnacentral:lncRNA from 1 species
GGAAGGUGGAGGUGCCAGAUGCCUCCUCCACUUCAGUGGUCACUGCUGAGAGUGCUCCUUGGGAAUAUCAGAUGGAAGGGUCUUUGAGGAAGGAUGACUUCCUCUGGAGUACGGAGGAGCAGGUCAAAGAAUUUAGGCAUAUAUCACUGGGGUCCAGGGAUUUGCAGGCAAGGUGCCUGAGGACUCGUGGGUAGCCAGCAUCACUGCAGCCUUCAGAAAGGGUGAGAAGGAGGGCCUGCGCAACUGUAGGCUGUUCAGGAUCACCUCCCUCCCUGGCACUGAAAUGGGACAGCUUGUUCUGGAUGUCAUCUCUAAGGAGCGGUCAUGGUGGAUUCAGCAAGAGGAAGUGAUGAUGGACUGACCUGGUAGCUUUCUGUGUUGUGACUGUCUGGUUGGAUGAGAGAAGGGCAGUGGAUGUUGUGGGGUGGAAUAUCACUCCUGUCAGUAAAUAUCUAAGUGUGGAGUUGAUGGGAGUGGGCUUGUGCAGGCACAGAUGGAAGGUAUGUGGUGGUAGAAUGGGGGUAAUGUUCACAGGCUGGAACACUGGUGGUUCUAUAGAAACAGAGGGAAGAUGGGUUUCACUGUGAGGGUGAUGGAAUAGGCUGUGGGGUCCCCUUCCCUGGGGAUUUAAGUUGCACCUGGCUGUUUUUGUGGGUGAUAUGCUAUGUAGGGAGGCUGCAUGAUCUGUUCACAGGGUGAGCGCCACAGUGGAGCAUUGAGGAUCAGCCUGAGGAAGGAUGUGAGCUGUCUGACCUGCCUACCUGGUGGCCCUUCAAGAAUGUGUUUGAGUUCUUCCUGCAGGUUCAGGGUGGGUGUCCUACUGAUGUGACUGCAGGGGCUCUGUGGAGUGAGGUGAGCUGUGCUGUCUCAGGGCUGGGACUGGGUGUUGGUGUGUUUUGGUUUUAUUCCUGAAGGUGUGUGGCAGGCCCACUGGUGGUGCUGGAGUUGUUUCAGUCUUCCAGGGCUGUUGUCUUCCCUUGGAUUGCGGUGCAGCUGGUGUGCCAGGAGGAAGGUCCCCAUCCUGGGUGCUGCAGAACUGUCAGGAGUAGCUCCUGUGUGGUGACUGCUCUGUGGUGGUGCUUCUGGUCCUGAAGGUGGGAGAUGGAGUGAGGAGGAGCUGGGUUCUGUGUUCCUGCUGAAGGAGAAAAUUCAUUUCAUUUCAAACCUCAGUGUUUGCCCCCAAAAUACUGGUGACUAACCUUACUUCUGUGGAGCGGAAAGUGGGUGAAGAUGCAUCCCUUUUGUAGAAGAAUGAGUGGCUUGUGAUGGCUUUCCGGGAAGACUGAUCUGCUGCAGGUGUGAUUGCUCUGUGUUGUGGGGGAGAAUUGGGAUGCCUAAGAAUAUCUGCACUGGAGUGGGAAUGACUAGGCUUAGCUAACUCAAGUUUUCAUGGUGAAGUGGAUACCUGUCCAUCUCUGACUUUAAAACAACAGUAAAUCCUUGCUUACCUCACAAAGAUGCGCUGUCUAUUUCUGUGCUUGGGCUCUGUUUCCUUGCUGCUGCUGAUAUUCAUCUUGGGGGAACACAGAAAGGGAGAAAAAUGACCCCUGAAGCAGUAGACUAUUUAGCAUUGCAUGUUCUGCAAAAGAAAAACAAGUGAGACUUAAUAACAAAUAGUUUUACAAGUUAUCUACUGCAGAAGUACAGUGUGUCAGACUUGCUUUACUCACUGAAUGAAAUGGUAGAGUACAUUGUCAGCGUUUGUAUUGUUGCAACUGUAUUUCUAGAGAAGCAUUUCUUGAGCUCUGUAGAGCUUCCCAGGAUCAUGGUAUGGUGUGCCAUCCCAAUAGAGUGGCUGUGACUGUCUUUCAAAAGAACUCUGCUUUCCAUCUUUUUAAGAAGAGUUCACUGAGAACUGUCUCUGGUUUCUUGGUAGGUAACCUGAGCUACUGCUUCACUGCACAACCCUUUGGAUUGAAUUGUGAAUAAGAAACCAUACUGGAUCAGAAGGGACUUGCAACUCUGGGAGACUGCCUGGACUCCAACUGCUAUGGCUGGGAGCAGCAUCCAAAUGCUUUGUGAACUGUCAGCCAUGGGCUGUGACUGCUGUCUCAGAGAAGCCUGUUUUGCUAUCUCACCCCUCUUUCUGACAAGUUUUUCUUCAUCUGCAACCUCUACCUUCUCUGACCUCUACAGCCUCCUUUCAGCUUAAAAAGAGAGGGAAUUUGAGCCUUCCUUGGAUGCUCGCUGAGAGCUCUUAUGUUAUAUUGCAGGUUGCAGAGCUGCACACUAUGCUCACGGUGAGGCUUUACCUCCCUGGAGCAGUGUGGGAUGAUCCCUUCCUUUGUUCAGCCGGGUGUGCUGGGCCUGAGGUGCCCCAGGGUGUGGUCAACCUUCUAAAUGACCAGGCAUGCUGCUGACUUGAAUUUAACUUGCUGCCAACUGUGGCACCCAGAUUCCUUUCCCUGGGGCAGCUCUCUGACCUCAUUCCCCCCUGUUCUGUAUGGGUAGCUGGGGUUGGCCUGUCUCACAUACAGAAUCAGGUGCUGGCUGCUGACAAAAUUCACACAGUUGGUGACUGUAGGGCCUGCUACUGUGUAGAGUUUGCUCUGCAGAGCCUGUUUACCCCUGAGGAGUCCCCAGCUCCUCCAAAUUUAGUGUCAUCAGCAAAAAUACUUAAUAUGCAUUUGACUCCUGUGUCCUGAUCAUUUAUAGAAAUACCAAAGGGAACUGCCCCUGCCAAGAAGCCCCUGGAAUUUGACUGGAGCCUGGCUGCCAGCCUCACAUAAUCUCAUUUAAUUCAAACAGAAUUAAAUUAGAUUUAGAUUUAAAUUUAACAAAUACUUGGAGCUGCUUUGGUAGGGGACUGAGUCACUGCUUGCUGUUUGUUUGUCUUAAGAGGUAUAGUUAGGAAGGGCUGUUUUCUGACACAGCAUUUAGUUUCUGGAUCCCCUUACCUGACAAGAAUUUUCCUUACCUACUCAAAGAGAUAAUACACACUUGGAAUUACACCACAGGCAAAGAUGUCUUGUUUUUGAACAGAUGGAGUUAAUAAAUGCAUCCCUCUAAUAGAGGAAUGGAAUAAGAGCUGUCUUAUAGCAUUAAUAAAUUCAUAGCUACUGAAUAAAGUUAAAUAUUUUCAACCACUACAAUCUAAAUCAUUUCACUAUUCACAUUUUCUGCAUAGUAAGAUUACUGGGGUGUAUCCUACCAUUAAUAGUCAGAAUGACUGACCAAGAAGUACAGAUUGCCACAAUAAAACCUAAAGCUGCAAAAAACAAACAACAACAA